rnacentral:rRNA from 1 species
GCCUACGGGGGGCAGCAGUGGGGAAUAUUGCGCAAUGGGCGAAAGCCUGACGCAGCGACGCCGCGUGAGGGAUGAAGGUCUUCGGAUCGUAAACCUCUGUCAGCAGGGAAGAACGGUCACUGUGCUAAUCAGCAGUGAAUUGACGGUACCUGCAAAGGGAGCACCGGCUAACUCCGUGCCAGCAGCCGCGGUAAUACGGAGGGUGCGAGCGUUAAUCGGAAUUACUGGGCGUAAAGCGCUCGUAGGCGGUAUGUCAAGUCAAGGGUGAAAUCCCCGCGCUCAACGUGGGAACUGCCUUUGAAACC